CUUCCGUUGAAGAAGGAAAGUGGGGUGCCAGCUCUUGUUUUCCAGACAUUUGAAGCACAGGAAGCAGCUCUAAGAGAAUUCAUAGCACUUCGCAGACGUGCAGAUAGCCAUCCCCCUUUGCCAGGGCUUCAGAUGAUGCGUCACUUCAUUAUUCCAUGAUACCCUUGAAGCAACAACCAAGUAACCAGGAGAAUGCCGUGGCUUCUAAUGUGAGGAAAAACAUGGAAUGACAAGUGUGGGAAAGAGCACGCACUAAAUUACUGUCAGAAAAGUAAGCGGAGCGGCACAGUGGUGCCCGGUGAUUUACGGGGGCAAUUAGUCCCCGCCCCACAGUGCUGCUGAGGAGAGCAUGGCAGACCUCUCAGGCCCCC